rnacentral:lncRNA from 1 species
AACGAUCAUUCAUGCCAUAUAUCAUCUCAAACCUCCUUCUAGGGGUGAGUGUGGCAUUUUAAUACCAAUUUCAUGUUCAUAUUCUUCUAAUAAUGAAUAUGUAUUCGUGAAUCAGGUGUUUGUCACAUUCACUUCGGGGAUAUGUGAUUUUGUUAUCCUUUUCAAAUCUAUAAAUGCGUCAGGCAUUUGAUUUGCUAUUCUUUGCAAAUGGAUAAUCNNN